rnacentral:rRNA from 1 species
CCUACGGGGGGCAGCAGUGAGGAAUAUUGGUCAAUGGACGAGAGUCUGAACCAGCCAAGUAGCGUGAAGGAUGACUGCCCUAUGGGUUGUAAACUUCUUUUAUAUGGGAAUAAAAUGUUCCACGUGUGGGAUUUUGUAUGUACCAUAUGAAUAAGGAUCGGCUAACUCCGUGCCAGCAGCCGCGGUAAUACGGAGGAUCCGAGCGUUAUCCGGAUUUAUUGGGUUUAAAGGGAGCGUAGGUGGAUUGUUAAGUCAGUUGUGAAAGUUUGGGGCUCAACCGUAAAAUUGCAGUUGAAACUGGCAGUCGUGAGUACAGUAGAGGUAGGCGGAAUUCGUGGUGUAGCGGUGAAAUGCAUAGAUAUCGCGAAGAACUCCGAUUGCGAAGGCAGCUCACUGGCCUGACACUGACACUGAGGCUCGAAAGUGUGGGUAUCAAACAGGAUUAGAUACCCUUGUAGUC